GACGAACCGUGCGAACGUUGUUCGGAAUCACUGGGCUUAAAGGGUGCGUAGGUGGGCUGGUAAGUCAGUGGUGAAAUCUCCAGGCUUAACUUGGAAACUGCCAUUGAUACUAUUAGUCUUGAAUACCGUGGAGGUCAGCGGAAUAUGUCAUGUAGCGGUGAAAUGCUUAGAUAUGACAUAGAACACCAAUUGCGAAGGCAGCUGGCUACACGAAUAUUGACACUGAUGCACGAAAGCGUGGGGAGCAAACAGG
rnacentral:rRNA from 1 species